rnacentral:rRNA from 1 species
UACGUAGGGUGCAAGCGUUUAAUCGGAAUUACUGGGCGUAAAGCGUGCGCAGGCGGUUUUUGUAAGUCUGUCGUGAAAUCCCCCGGGCUCAACCUGGGGAAUUGCGAUGGAGACUGCAAGGCUAGAAUCUGGCAGAGGGGGGGUAGAAUUCCACGUGUAGCAGUGAAAUGCGUAGAGAUGUGGAGGAACACCGAUGGCGAAGGCAGCCCCCCUGGGGUCA